rnacentral:tRNA from 1 species
GGUGGCUUAGUGGUAGAGCGCUUGCCUAGCAUGCAUGAAGGCCUGGGUUCGAUUCCUCAGGACCA